AGUGAACGCUGGCGGUAGGCCUAACACAUGCAAGUCGAACGGCAGCACAGUAAGAGCUUGCUCUUACGGGUGGCGAGUGGCGGACGGGUGAGGAAUACAUCGGAAUCUACUUUUUCGUGGGGGAUAACGUAGGGAAACUUACGCUAAUACCGCAUACGACCUACGGGUGAAAGCAGGGGAUCUUCGGACCUUGCGCGAUUGAAUGAGCCGAUGUCGGAUUAGCUAGUUGGCGGGGUAAAGGCCCACCAAGGCGACGAUCCGUAGCUGGUCUGAGAGGAUGGUCAGCCACCCUGGAACUGAGACACGGUCCAGACUCCGACGGGAGGCAGCAGUGGGGAAUAUUGGACACUGGGCGCAAGCCUGAUCCAGCCAUGCCGCGUGGGUGAAGAAGGCCUGCGGGUUGUAAAGCCCUUUUGUUGGGAAAGAAAAGCAGCAGGUUAAUACCCCGCUGUUCUGACGGUACCCAAAGAAUAAGCACCGGCUAACUUCGU
rnacentral:rRNA from 1 species